AAAGUCGGGCAAGCCUGUAUCUCUGUGUUCUGCCCUGGAUAUAGGAGUAAAAGUGCAAUAGUGGCAGAGUUGCAGACGACCCCCGCAUGGAAGAGGAACAACAAUCAGUCAGUCAGUCAGUCACUCACUCACUCACUCAGUCAGUUCUCCUACAGUGCUGGCAGUGGCAUCCCGAACCAGCGCAUGUGGGACGGCAUCAAUGAUUGCUGCAGUAACAGAGAGGAUGAGUUUUUGCAGCUGUGUGGCAUUGAGGAGUGCCGGGAGAAGAAUGUAGGGUGUGUGAGAGUCUGUUUACAUCAACACUCGAGAGUCAUACUACUGCCAGUGCCGGCCAUGCAGGGUACAGACUCGUGUCAGAAAGUUCAAGUGUGAAGACGUUGACGAGUGCGUGGAGUCGCCCAGAUCCCAUCCCCUCAGCAGUGUUCGAUCCGCC